GACAGAGGUGCCAAGCGUUAGGCGGAAUCACUGGGCUUAAAGCGUGUGUAGGCGGAUCGUUAAGUACCUUGUGAAAUCCCACGGCUCAACCGUGGAACUGCUGGGUAUACUGGCGGUCUUGAGCCACCUAGGGGCAACUGGAACAAGCGGUGGAGCGGUGAAAUGCGUAGAGAUGUGGAGGAACACCGAUGGCGAAGGCAGCCCCCUGGGUCAAGAUUGACGCUCAUGCACGAAAGCGUGGGGAGCAAACAGG
rnacentral:rRNA from 1 species